GGGUGCCUGUCGCAUUUACUUAUCUGGGACUAUUCGAAUAAACUAUCGUCAUUCCACCAUCCCGUGCUGAUGAAGGAGGAGGAAGGGGCCCAGUGACAUGUGUGACUGAAAUUGGUAUUCUUAUCCAGGAUAGCCAUUAAAUCAUUGCAUUAAAGAGGGAAUGAAUGUGGUUUUACGCCGCUUUUAGCAUUGUUGGAGCACAACCACGGCAGGGGACACCUGUAAACGACUUCACAUAAAGACCACUAGGCAACUCCCACUGUAAUAUAGGGGAUAUAUUCCUAUUUCAUCACGCACAGCAGUCGAGUAUUCUCUUUAGCUUAAACAGGUUCAUUAGUCUGUACAACACUCACCCAUCUUUCAUAUCUAUAUAAACGCCCAUUGUGUGUCUUUUGAAAAAAAAACCAAAAGGCGCCAUGAGAGGACAUUACACAUUUCCGCUACUGAUUUUGAGCUAAACAGGGCAACCAACACGUUGUACAGAAUAUUCACUCUCGUCUAGAGUUACCCCCCUUACACUGUCGAUCACUAUGUGUAUUUGUACAUCCAACAGUUUUUCUGAACUUAUUAAGUUUAAUUUAACUUUUUGCAUUCUUUGAUUCCUUUACAAGAAUUUACGUCUUUCUUCAAAUCGAUGAACAUUUAUACAAAUAUGAGAUUACUAUCCCAAUUUCAUUGUGCCAGGAGCAAACAAAUAUUUAGCCGAAUAUUGUUUGAGAAGUUAUCGUUGAUAAACAUAUGGGUUUUAUUUAGCUUUUAACCACCACCUAUGCUGUAUAGAAGAAACUUUUCACUAAACAGGAAGUUCA